rnacentral:piRNA from 1 species
UGGAAUUUUAUGUCUGGAUGGACAAGUUC